GACGAACGCUGGCGGCGUGCUUAACACAUGCAAGUCGAACGGAAAGGCCCUGCUUUUGUGGGCUGCUCGAGUGGCGAACGGGUGAGUAACACGUGAGUAACCUGCCCUUGACUUUGGGAUAACUUCAGGAAACUGGGGCUAAUACCGGAUAGGAGCUCCUGCUGCAUGGUGGGGGUUGGAAAGUUUCGGCGGUUGGGGAUGGACUCGCGGCUUAUCAGCUGGUUGGUGGGGUAGUGGCUUACCAAGGCUUUGACGGGUAGCAGACCUGAGAGGGUGACCGGCCACAUUGGGCCUGUGAUACGGUCCAGACUCCUAUGGGAGGCAGCGGUGGAGAAUAUUGCACAAUGACCGGAAGCCUAAUGCACCAACGCCGCGUGCGGGGUGCCGGCCUUCGGGUUGUAAACCGCUUUCGCCUGUGACGAAGCGCGAGUGACGGUAACGUGUGAAGAAGCACCGGCUAACUACGUG
rnacentral:rRNA from 1 species